AUGGGAAACGGGUUAAUAUUCCCGUACUUCUUACAAUUGCGAUGGGGGGACGGAGAAGGCUAGGUGGGCCUGGCGACGGUUGUCCAGGUUCAAGUGCGUAGGCUGAGUGUUUAGGUAAAUCCGGAUACUCUUAAGGCUGAGACACGACGUCGAGCUACUACGGUAGUGAAGUCAUUGAUGCCAUGCUUCCAGGAAAAGCCUCUAAGCUUCAGAUUGUAAGGAAUCGUACCCCAAACCGACACAGGUGGUCG
rnacentral:rRNA from 1 species